CAGUAGCCGCGGGAAUACGUAGGGUGCGAGCGUUAAUCGGAAUUACUGGGCGUAAAGCGUGCGCAGGCGGUUUUGUAAGACAGGCGUGAAAUCCCCGGGCUCAACCUGGGAAUGGCGCUUGUGACUGCAAAGCUAGAGUGCGGCAGAGGGGGAUGGAACUCCGCGUGUAGCAGUGAAAUGCGUAGAUAUGCGGAGGAACACCGAUGGCGAAGGCAAUCCCCUGGGCCUGCACUGACGCUCAUGCACGAAAGCGUGGGGAGCAAACAGGAUUAGAUACCCCCGUAGUCCCUGUCUCUUAUAC
rnacentral:rRNA from 1 species